rnacentral:sRNA from 1 species
AGUGGACCAAAGUCAUAUAUACGCUUGUGCUUGCACAAAAGCGUAUAUAUGAUCUUGGGACACGCCCCGGGAUGAGCAUAAAAGCGGGGUGGAAGCUCCGCGAUAUGCGAAUGCCGGGAAGGAUUGUGAGAGUGCGAAGCACGGAACAAUCCUU